ensembl:snRNA U6 U6 spliceosomal RNA
GUGCUCGCUUUAGUAGCACAUUCGCUAAAGUUGGAACAAUACAGAGAAGAUUAGCAUGGCUCCUGCCCAAGGAUGACAGACACACAAAUUUGUGAAAUGUUU